rnacentral:tRNA from 1 species
GCCCGGGUGGCGUAAUUGGUAGCCGCUGGGGACUUAAAAUCCCCUGGCCGCAAGGCCGUGCCGGUUCGACUCCGGCCCUGGGCACCA